rnacentral:rRNA from 1 species
UACGAAGGGGGCUAGCGUUGUUCGGAAUUACUGGGCGUAAAGGGCGCGUAGGCGGUGUGUCAAGUCAGGCGUGAAAUCCCCGGGCUUAACCUGGGAACUGCAUUUGUGACUGCAUGGCUGGAGUGCGGCAGAGGGGGAUGGAAUUCCGCGUGUAGCAGUGAAAUGCGUAGAUAUGCGGAGGAACACCGAUGGCGAAGGCAAUCCCCUGGGCCUGCACUGACGCUCAUGCACGAAAGCGUGGGGAGCAAACAGG